rnacentral:lncRNA from 13 species
GCGACUGACGGGCUGACCGUCCCGGGUUCCGUGUCAGCUACCUGCGCCGGGUGGUUCCAGAAGCAGAAGAAGCAUUCCGAGGGCUGCCGGAAGUACACGGCACAGACGGUUACAUACGGAAGUGUUUCCGGGCCGCCCCUAAGGCGGCGCGGGCGGGCUCAGCCUCGGUAUCGCGAGACCGGGCGAGACUACGGCAUCGCGGAGGAUUGGGCGCAGCAUUGCUGGGGCCCGAGGCGCACUAGGGCUUCCGGAAGUGACGUGUGUGAGAAGCUUGCUUUUAAAAAAUGUACGUGAGGUCGUUAUUACGUCGCAAUAGCUCGAACUCCAAUCUAGGGUAAAUAAUAAUUCCUUCUCGUGUUCAUCGAGGUGCUUCUAAGUGCCGGUGCCAGGGUCAGAGCCACAGACGAGGCCCUCGCACGAGCCUCCUCCCUCAUGAACCAAUGCCUGUGCCUGUAACCGCGUUCCACCCGCGGCUCCAGGAACGUUUCCAGGGUUCUAAUGGACAUCACUUGGGAGUAUUGAGAAAUGAUCUACCAUCACAGCCACCAUCGAACCCACUUGUUCCCAAAAUGGCCAGCCUAGAAAGUCCUCGGCUCCACACAUCAAGCGCUCCACAUCCUCAUGUUGAAACAUCCCCAAACUGCUGCUUGCCCUUCUACAGUCAACGAAGAACUGCCAAAUUAUCUGAAAACCAACUGGAAAGUCCUCUCUAGAAAUCCCACCUUAAUAGAACACUGGCCGAUUGGAUUGUUUCAAUAUUUCCUCUAUAAAACUUGGUCUCUUUUCUAAAACUUUUGAACCCCUGCUGAAACAAGCAAUAAGUUUUCUUGCUGCAAGUUUAUAAACAAAUACCCUUUCUUAAUUUUGUCUUGAUUGUAGGCUUAUCUUUGACAACAUGUUUAUGUCAGUGCUUAUAAUAAAUGUGUUCCAUGAAUGUAAACA